rnacentral:rRNA from 1 species
CAAUAGCGUAUAUUAACGUUGUUGCAGUUAAAAAGCUCGUAGUUGGAUCUCUGGAGGGAGCGUCGGCCCGUAUUUACGAGUGCGCGACGUCUCUGUCCAUCCUUGCGGGAAGGCACGGCAUUGAUUUGUUGUGUCGGAUCGCAUCAUUUACUGUGAAAAAAUUAGAGUGUUCAAAGCAGGCUUUCGCUUGAAUACAUUAGCAUGGAAUAAUAAGAUAGGACUUUGGUGCUAUUUUGUUGGUUGAGCCUAAAGUAAUGAUUAAUAGGGAUAGUUGGGGGCACCUGUAUUGCGUUGUCAGAGGUGAAAUUCUUGGAUUUACGCAAGACAAACAGCUGCGAAAGCGUCUGCCAAGGAUGUUUUCAUUAA